rnacentral:misc_RNA from 1 species
GCGACCCGCAACUAAUCAAAGAAAUCAAACAAUCCGUCACAAUUCCCGUGAUGGCCAAAGCCCGUAUUGGCCAUUUCGUGGAGGCCCAAAUACUCGAGGCAAUUGGAGUCGAUUAUAUCGACGAGAGCGAAGUUCUCACUCCUGCCGAUGAAGAAAACCACAUUAACAAGCAUAAUUUCCGGAUUCCUUUUGUCUGCGGUUGCAGGAAUCUUGGAGAAGCCCUCCGCAGAAUCCGGGAGGGAGCGGCCAUGAUCAGAACCAAAGGGGAGGCCGGCACUGGCAAUAUCAUCGAGGCGGUUAGGCACGUGAGGUCCGUCAUGGGGGACAUUAGAGUCUUGAUGAACAUGGAUGACGAUGAGGUUUUUACUUUCGCCAAGAAAAUUGCGGCUCCUUACGAUUUGGUGAUGCAGACCAAGCAGUUAGGACGGCUUCCGGUGGUGCAUUUUGCGGCGGGGGGGGGGGGGGCCCCCGCGGG